CAAGGCUAAAUACUCCUGACUGACCGAUAGUGAACCAGUACCGUGAGGGAAAGGCGAAAAGAACCCCGGCGAGGGGAGUGAAAAAGAACCUGAAACCGUGUACGUACAAGCAGUGGGAGCACCUUCGUGGUGUGACUGCGUACCUUUUGUAUAAUGGGUCAGCGACUUAUAUUCUGUAGCAAGGUUAACCGUAUAGGGGAGCCGCAGGGAAACCGAGUCUUAACUGGGCGUUAAGUUGCAGGGUAUAGACCCGA
rnacentral:rRNA from 2 species